ensembl:snoRNA
AUACUGUGAUGGUUGCAUAGUUCAACAGAUUGAAUCAUGAAAGAGAUAACAUUUGACUGAGUAUCU